rnacentral:tRNA from 1 species
GCCUGGCUGGCUCAGUCGGUGGAGCGUGCGACUCUUGAUCUCAGGGUUGAGAGUUCAAGCCCCACGCUGGGUG